GGGCCCUUAGCUCAGCUGGAUAGAGCGAUCCCCUCCUAAGGGAUAGGCCGGAAGUUCGAAUCUUCCAGGGCUCACCA
rnacentral:tRNA from 1 species